AAACCAUGCAUUGGGCAUUUCCUAAUUAACUCUUGAAUCGCUCUCAUGCUUCAUAUAAUGUUUCAUCCUCAGGUUGUCAAAAGGACGUAAUAUCGUUUCUCAAUUU
rfam:Gossypium arboreum cultivar AKA8401 contig_4516_1, whole genome shotgun sequence.